rnacentral:rRNA from 1 species
AGAGUUUGAUCCUGGCUCAGGAUGAACGCUAGCGGCAGGCUUAACACAUGCAAGUCGAGGGGUAACAGAGGUAGCUUGCUACUUGCUGACGACCGGCGCACGGGUGCGUAACGCGUAUAGAAUCUACCUUGUACUAGGGGAUAGCCUUUGGAAACGAAGAUUAAUACCCUAUAGUAAGUAUUUAUGGCAUCAUUUAUACUUUAAAGAUUACGGUACAAGAUGACUAUGCGUCCUAUUAGUUUGUUGGUGAGGUAACGGCUCACCAAGACAUCGAUAGGUAGGGGUCCUGAGAGGGAGAUCCCCCACACUGGUACUGAGACACGGACCAGACUCCUACGGGAGGCAGCAGUGAGGAAUAUUGGACAAUGGAGGCAACUCUGAUCCAGCCAUGCCGCGUGUAGGAAGAAUGCCCUAUGGGUUGUAAACUACUUUUAUACAGGAAGAAACACUGGUAUGUAUACCAGCUUGACGGUACUGUAAGAAUAAGGACCGGCUAACUCCGUGCCAGCAGCCGCGGUAAUACGGAGGGUCCGAGCGUUAUCCGGAAUCAUUGGGUUUAAAGGGUCCGCAGGCGGUCUAUUAAGUCAGAGGUGAAAUCCCAUAGCUCAACUAUGGAACUGCCUUUGAUACUGGUUGACUUGAGUCAUAUGGAAGUGGAUAGAAUGUGUAGUGUAGCGGUGAAAUGCAUAGAUAUUACACAGAAUACCGAUUGCGAAGGCAGUCCACUACGUAUGUACUGACGCUGAGGGACGAAAGCGUGGGGAGCGAACAGGAUUA